AACGAACGCUGGCGGCAGGCUUAACACAUGCAAGUCGAACGAGAUCUUCGGAUCUAGUGGCAGACGGGUGAGGAACACGUGGGAACAUCCCUUUCAGUUCGGAAUAACGUUGGGAAACUAACGCUAAUACCGGAUACGUCCUUCGGGAGAAAGAUUUAUUGCUGAAAGAUUGGCCCGCGUCUGAUUAGCUAGUUGGUGAGGUAAUGGCUCACCAAGGCUACGAUCAGUAGCUGAUCUGAGAGGAUGAUCAGCCACAUUGGGACUGAGACACGGCCCAAACUCCUACGGGAGGCAGCAGUGGGGAAUAUUGGACAAUGGGCGCAAGCCUGAGCCAGCCAUGCCGCGUGAGUGAUGAAGGCCCUAGGGUUGUAAAGCUCUUUCAGUGGGGACGAUAAUGACGGUACCCACAGAAGAAGCCCCGGCUAACUUCGUGCCAGCCGCCGCAGUAA
rnacentral:rRNA from 1 species